UGGGGAAUUUUGGACAAUGGGGGAAACCCUGAUCCAGCCAUCCCGCGUGUGCGAUGAAGGCCUUCGGGUUGUAAAGCACUUUUGGCAGGAAAGAAACGUCGCGGGUUAAUACCCCGCGAAACUGACGGUACCUGCAGAAUAAGCACCGGCUAACUACGUGCCAGCAGCCGCGGUAAUACGUAGGGUGCAAGCGUUAAUCGGAAUUACUGGGCGUAAAGCGUGCGCAGGCGGUUCGGAAAGAAAGAUGUGAAAUCCCAGAGCUUAACUUUGGAACUGCAUUUUUAACUACCGGGCUAGAGUGUGUCAGAGGGAGGUGGAAUUCCGCGUGUAGCAGUGAAAUGCGUAGAUAUGCGGAGGAACACCGAUGGCGAAGGCAGCCUCCUGGGAUAACACUGACACUCAUGCACGAAAGCGUGGGGAGCAAACAGGAUUAGAUACCCUGGUAGUCCACGCCCUAAACGAUGUCAACUAGCUGUUGGGGCCUUCGGGCCUUGGUAGCGCAGCUAACGCGUGAAGUUGACCGCCUGGGGAGUACGGUCGCAAGAUU
rnacentral:rRNA from 1 species